GACGAACGCUGGCGGCGGGCUUAACACAUGCAAGUCGAACGGAAAGGCUCUGCGUGUUUGGGGUGCUCGAGGGGCGAACGCGUGAGUAACAGGUGCGUAACCUGCCCUUGACUUUGGGAUAACUUCAGGCAACUGGGGCUAAUACCGGAUAGGAGCUCCUGCUGCAUGGGGGGGGUUGGAAAGUUUCGGCGGUUGUGGAUAGACGCGUGGCUUAUCAGCUUGUUGGUUGGGGAGUGGCUUACCAAGGCUUUGGCGGGUAGCCGGCCUGAGAGGGUGACCGGCCACAGUGGCACAGAGCUACGGCACAGAGUCCUACGGGAGGCAGAACUGGGGAAGAGUGCACAAUGGGCGGAAGCCGGAUGCAGCAACGCCGCGUGCGGGAUGACGGCCUUCUGGUUGUAAACCGUUUUGGCCUGUGACGAUGCGUGAGUGACGGUACUGGGUAAAGAAGCACCGGCUAACUACGUG
rnacentral:rRNA from 1 species